rnacentral:rRNA from 1 species
AUUGAACGCUGGCGGCAGGCCUAACACAUGCAAGUCGAGCGAGCGGCGGACGGGUGAGUAAUGUCUGGGAAACUGCCUGAUGGAGGGGGAUAACUACUGGAAAAGGUAGCUAAUCCCGCAUACCAUCAGAUGUUCCCAGAUGGGAUUAGCUGGUAGGUGGUGUAACGGCUCACCAAGGCGACGAUCCCUAGCUGGUCUGAGAGGAGGACCAGCCACAAUGGAACUGAGACACGGGCCAGACUCCGACGGGAGGCAGCAGGGGGGAAUAUUGCACAAGGGGCGCAAGCCUGAUGCAGCCAGGCCGGGUGGUUGAAGAAGGCCUUCGGGUUGUAAAGCACUUUCAGCGGGGAGGCGUGACCCGCAGAAGAAGCACCGGCUAACUCCGUGCCAGCAGCCGCGGGAAUA